AUUGAACGCUGGCGGCAGGCCUAACACAUGCAAGUCGAGCGGUUGAGGUAGCUUGCUACCGAUGCAGCGGCGGACGGGUGAGUAAUACAUGGGAAUCUGCCUGGUAGUGGGGGACAACGUUUCGAAAGGAACGCUAAUACCGCAUACGCCCUACGGGGGAAAGGGGGGGAUCUUCGGACCUCUCGCUAUCAGAUGAGCCC
rnacentral:rRNA from 1 species